CAGCUUUUUCAAUUUGUACUUUUUGCAUCAUCUAUGUGUACACUUAAAUUGACUUGAAAAAAUUCAUUGGGACUCUCCCACCUCAAAUAGCAAACACGUGUGCUCUACGUGUCACGGGCAUCUUUCUUAACGAGCAUGUAAACAUUUGAUUCUAUUUUUCUCAGAGAUUAUUGAUUCAUGCCAUGGCAGCGCUUCAAUUUAAUAGUUAAUUAGAGGUUAUGCUGUCAUGGGAGAAAAAUGCAACUCUUUUCAUUGCAUCACAAGUAAUUGAGAUUUCACAUGGAUGGUUUCACAAGGACAGAAACAGACUUGCAUCAACUUGAGAAGAUAUAUUUAGUUUUCAAAUUCUCAAGUCCAUGUAUUAUUUUAACUACGGCGAUGGUACAUAGGAUACAAACCUUGUUGUAUAUGAUGCUAUUAUACAGUGACAAUGAAACAAUCUCAAAGGCUUUCAUCUA